AUUGAACGCUGGCGGCAGGCCUAACACAUGCAAGUCGAGCGGUAGAGAGGUGCUUGCAUCUCUUGAGAGCGGCGGACGGGUGAGUAAUGCCUAGGAAUCUGCCUAGUGGUGGGGGAUAACGUUCGGAAACGGACGCUAAUACCGCAUACGUCCUACGGGAGAAAGCGGGGGAUCUUCGGACCUCGCGCCAUUAGAUGAGCCUAGGUCGGAUUAGCUAGUUGGUGAGGUAAUGGCUCACCAAGGCGACGAUCCGUAACUGGUCUGAGAGGAUGAUCAGUCACACUGGAACUGAGACACGGUCCAGACUCCUACGGGAGGCAGCAGUGGGGAAUAUUGGACAAUGGACGCAAGUCUGAUCCAGCCAUUCCGCGUGCAGGACGAAGGCCUUCGGGUUGUAAACUGCUUUGUACGGAACGAAAAAGCUCUUACUAAUACUAGGAGUCCAUGACGGUACCGUAAGAAUAAGCACCGGCUAACUACGUG
rnacentral:rRNA from 1 species